CGAACAUUCAGAUAGCCCCUGGGCAUCACCGGUAGUGCUAGUACCCAAGAAGGAUGGCACCACGCGGUUUUGUGUAGACUACCGGAGGCUCAAUGACAAAACAGUGUCUGACGCCUACCCGAUGCCCCGUAUAGACAAGCUGCUAGAUAGGAUGGCAAGAGGCUAGUAUCUCACUACCAUUGAUCUGUGUAAGGGAUACUGGCAGAUUCCACUAGCCGAGGAGGCCAUCCCCAAGUCGGCGUUUGUCAC